GGAAGAAUAGCGAAGUGGCCAAACGCGGCAGACUGUAAAUCUGUUCCUACGGGUUCGAUGGUUCGACUCCAUCUUCUUCCACCA
rnacentral:tRNA from 2 species